rnacentral:lncRNA from 1 species
UGGCGUCACACGUAGCGGCCAAGAUGGCGCUAGCGGUUGGAGCAGGGGCUCUGCUGCGACCUUUACGGUAGUGAGGUUAGGGACGAUGGGAGAGCAGCUUUGUUCCUGAAGUGCCGUCGAGGAUUAGGAUCGAGUUUCUUCGAUCGUGAGGGCAAUUAUUAGUGGCCUCUAGCCCCCCAGAUGGCAUCUUGAGGAGAGAGAAUCCACGCUACGAGAACUAACAUAGUGGACAUCGCAGUUGUCCGUAGCCGAUUUGCGGGUUACGGAGUUGUUGCAAGUAAAGAAGGGGAAAUCCGAGCGUUCUCGCGUUGGAUUUCCUCCACGUGUGAAGUGGGAAUGGUAGUGAUAUCUCGUGCUAUCUCUGUCAAGGGCAAGAAGGAGAAGGAAUUUAUUUGAGGCCCUACGACGUGGUGCGGUGGCUCACGCCUGUAAUCCCAACACUUUGGGAGGCCGAGGCAGGCGGAUCAUCUGAGAUCGAGAGUUCGAGACCAGCUUGACCAACAUGGAGAAACCCCGUCUCUACUAAAAGUACAAAAUUAGCCAGGCAUGGUGGCACAUGCCCGUAAUCCCAGCUACUCGGGAGGCUGAGGCAGGAGAGUAGCUUGAGCCCAGGAGGCGGAGGUUGUGGUGAGCCGAGAUCGCGCCAUUGCACAGCCUGGGCAACGAGCGAAACUCCAUCUCAAAAAAAUAAAUAAAAAUUUUUUUAAAAAAGAAA